UCACUGGGUGUGGUUUAUCCG
rnacentral:miRNA from 1 species